rnacentral:rRNA from 1 species
ACUCAAAUGAAUUGACGGGGACCCGCACAAGCGGUGGAGCAUGUGGUUUAAUUCGAGGCAACGCGAAGAACCUUACCAGGCCUUGACAUGUCCAGUUUGGUCGUCAGAGAUGACUUCCUUCAGUUCGGCUGGCUGGAACACAGGUGCUGCAUGGCUGUCGUCAGCUCGUGUCGUGAGAUGUUGGGUUAAGUCCCGCAACGAGCGCAACCCUCAUCCUUUGUUGCCAACAGGUAAUGCUGGGAACUCUAAGGAAACCGCCGGCGUCAAGCCGGAGGAAGGUGGGGACGACGUCAAGUCAUCAUGGCCCUUACGGCCUGGGCUACACACGUGCUACAAUGGCGGUGACAGUGGGCAGCUAACCAGUAAUGGUAUGCUAAUCUCUAAAAACCGCCUCAGUUCAGAUUGUCCUCUGCAACUCGAGGGCAUGAAGUCGGAAUCGCUAGUAAUCGCGGAUCAGCAUGCCGCGGUGAAUCCGUUCCCGGGUCUUGCACACACCGCCCGU